rnacentral:SRP_RNA from 1 species
AAUUGGGUCCCAUGCGGCGAAACCUCCCGAACCGUGUCAGGUCCUGACGGAAGCAGCACUAAGGGAGAUGUUUCGGGCGACGUGGGGCAACCUGGUUUGG